rnacentral:rRNA from 1 species
UACGUAGGGUGCAAGCGUUAAUCGGAAUUACUGGGCGUAAAGCGUGCGCAGGCGGUUGUGCAAGACAGAUGUGAAAUCCCCCGGGCUCAACCUGGGAAUUGCAUUUGUGACUGCACGGCUAGAGUGUGUCAGAGGGGGGGUAGAAUUCCACGUGUAGCAGUGAAGUGCGUAGAGAUGUGGAGGAAUACCGAUGGCGAAGGCAGCCCCCUGGGCCUGCACUGACGCUCAUGCACGAAAGCGUGGGGAGCAAACAGG